AGAGAACUUAGGUGACACCCUCAGAUCAUGAAACAGAACAUUGGUGGUAUACCAACCCCCAUCCCCUUGGAGCCUCUCCAUUCACUUCCCCUACAAAGGAGUCUGUAGACAGAAGAAUGUAAAAGAAAUAUGGAAAUAAAUUUGCAUACAACGGAAUUUGGCAAAGCAAAGCAGCUCAAAGUGACAUACCUGUGUGACUGUAUGUCAGAUUUUAUUCAUAUACUUGCACCAAAACCAUAUACUUAUGACGUUUGAAGCAGAUGAGAAUCCAACUGCCUUUUAUGAAGCCAGG